rnacentral:misc_RNA from 1 species
AUCUCACCCCUCUUGUGCAUCACCGCGUGGAGGCCCCUUUUGGCUAGUUCUAAAAGGGGUUUUCACGGUUUUAUACAUACACCAUUUUAAUGCUUUGCGUAAAAUGUCAUACUUUUGCGAUCACACGCAAUUAAUACAACUUUCAACAACGGAUCUCUUGGCUCUCGCAUCGAUGAAAAACGCAGCACUUUGAACGCACCUUGCGCUCCUUGGUAUUCCGAGGAGCAUGCCUGUUUGAGUGUCAUUAAUAUAACCUCAACCCUUCAUCUUUUGUUGAAGGGCUUGGAUGUGGGGGGUUUGCUGGCCUCUUAAAGAGGUUCAGCUCCCCUGAAAUGCAUUAGCAGAACGACCUUGCUCAUUGGUGUGAUAACUAUCUACGCUUAUGAAUGUGAGGGGCAGUUCAGCUUUCUAACAGUCUUUGGACAAUUCAUCAUUAAUGUGACCUCAAAUCAGGUAGGACUACCCGCUGAACUUAAGCAUAUCAAUAAGCGG